rnacentral:rRNA from 1 species
UACGUAGGGGGCUAGCGUUGUCCGGAUUUAUUGGGCGUAGAGAGCGUGUAGGCGGCCAGGUAGGUCCGUUGUGAAAACUCGAGGCUCAACCUCGAGACGUCGGCGGAAACCCUCUGGCUAGAGUCCGGAAGAGGAGAGUGGAAUUCCUGGUGUAGCGGUGAAAUGCGCAGAUAUCAGGAAGAACACCCGUGGCGAAGGCGGCUCUCUGGGACGGUACUGACGCUGAGACGCGAAAGCGUGGGGAGCAAACAGG